GACGAACGCUGGCGGCGUGCUUAACACAUGCAAGUCGAACGGAAAGGCCCGGCUUUUGCGGGGUUCUCGAGUGGGGAACGGGGGAGUAACACGCGAGUAACCUGUCCCUGACUGUGGGAGAACUCCAGGAAACUCCGGCGAUUAUCGGGGAGGAUCUCCUGCUGCGUGGUGGGGGUUGGAGAGUUUCGGCUGUGGGGGAUGGACUCGCGGCUUAUGAGCUGGUUGGGGGGGUAGUUGCGUACCAAGGCUUUGACGGGUAGCCGGCCUGAGAGCGUUACCGGCCACCUUAGGACUGCGGUACGGACCAGAAUCCUACGGGACGCAACAGUGGGGAAUAUUGCAGAAUGGGGGGACGCCUGUUGCAGCAACGCUGCGUGCGGGAUGCCGGGCUUCGGGUUGUAAACCAAUUUGUCCUGAGCCGAAGCGUGAGUGACGGUACUGGGUAAAGAAGCACCGGCUAACUACGUG
rnacentral:rRNA from 1 species